CCUCGAUCUCCUGGUAGGAGCUGUUGAUCAUGGCGAUGAGCAUGUUGAGAAGCACCACCACCAUGGUGACGUUGUAGAUGCCGUACAGCACGUAGCCGAUGUUCUCGAUGAACUUGUGGUCGUACUUCAGCACCACCGAGAUGACCUCGGACAGCCCAAAGAUGGACCAGAAGAGGGUCUUGAAGCUCUCCUCCACCCUGCAGAGGGAGGGGAGGAAGGUGAGAGAGAGGUGAGGGGAAGUAGGUGAGAGAGAGGUGAGGGGAGGUAGGUGAGAGAGGGGUGAGGGGAGGUAGGUGAGAGAGAGGUGACGGGAGGUAGGUGAGAGAGGACAGACAGACAGACAGACAGACAGACAGACAGACAGACAGACAGACAGACAGACAGACAGACAGACAGACAGACAGUCAGACAGACAGAGACAAAGAGACAGAGAGAACGAGAGAGAGGGAGAGAGAGAGAGCGGGAAAGAGAGAUGCAUUUAGUAACACAAAUCAAACCCAAGGGUCGUGUUCUCCUUCUUCCAGACAGCUCGGCCCAUGUGGUCAUCAGCAGCCAAUCAGAAGAGACGGGAGGGCUGCUCAGAACACAGGAACCUUGACAUGUGUUUUAACGACUCCCCAGUUUUAACUUAAAAGACGAAGCGCCCAAGUGUCAGAGAAGGCUUGGUUGCCAGACAUCCUGAAGGUAAUCGUCAGAAAUGGUAGCAAUACGAUGACAGACCUCUAUGCUUGUUUGCUAACAGAGGUGACGGUUGCUAAGGAAGCAGUCCACAGCCAGGUGAGCACAUGAGUGUCUGUGUGUCGCCACACUGCAAGAACACCUCAUGAUAGCCAAUGUAAUGUUCUCACAGAGGGGUUUAUGGGGUGGUACUGAUGAAAUCACCCGGUGAGUCAGAUCCAAUUUGAACACCUUAUCCUUUCAUCAUCCGUGUGUGAGCAUGCACAUGCGCGCACGCCGCACACGCACACACACACACACACACUUAAGAGAGCAUGCAAUUUGCCUGACUACAACUAUUAAGUUAUUUUAAUCAAGCCACAGGUUUUCUGUCUAUCCCGGCCGCUCAGCCGUGCACAAUUCCUAAUGGCCUGUUAACGUCAUCCUGGUCUGCUUAGAUUUCAUCGCAUGUUUCAGCAUCUCCGGGCGAAACAGCGUCUUUUAACUGCAUGAGGGCGUUAAAUAUUGACUCGACUUCAACACUUCAGAAAAACUAAUUGCACGGCGUAAGCCGCACACACGUCCCCGAUGGACCAAAAUGAACGGCCACGAGUCUUCUAAUGAUGUCCCCCAUGUGCCGGAGCGUCUUCGUUCGCAGGGUCCACGGUCAGAUUCCCAUAAAUGGAGCAGGAGCGAGAGACACACAGAGAUGCUAG
ensembl:lncRNA